AACUCAAUGCUGCUUGUCUAAGCAAAACCCAUGUUGUUGGGGGCUUGUCUUGUUGUUUAAAACCACAUGACCCAACACACCUUCUUCUCCAAAUGGGGUUGCUCUUGAAAUCCCUCCUCUCCCCAUUGAAGAAACUCUGGUUUCGUCUACAUUCAGUUCAAAAAAAGAGAAGAGGGAUAUACAUUUUGUAUGAGGAUGUGAAAUCAUGCCCUUGUGAAGAUGUGCAUGUGCUAUGGUCCAUGUUGGUGGAAUCAAAUGCAUCAUCCAUGCUGCCUGCCAAGCAAUGAAACAUUUCAGAGGCUAUAUAUCCACUCUUUGUAUAUAUAUAUAACAUAUUUAUGAUGUUUUUAUUUCUAUGAAACAAGGCUUUUUUUUUCUUGUUUUGAAUAUGUGCCAAAUACACCAGAAAUAUAUGAGUUAGUACUUUUUAAAAAAAAAGAAAAUUCUCUCUUUGUUUUAUUUUUCUUAAUACUUAAAAUCAAAUUUAAUUUCCUGAAUCCCAAAAUUUCAUUUGGGGGAAGUGAAUGGUGGGUUCUUUUCUUUACUUAAAAAUUUGGCCUUUUUUUAUGGUUGCUUUGUCACUUUCAGAAGUUGGGGGAAUGGGCAGUUUAUUGCUUGCUUUUCAUAUCUUUCAAGAAGUUGACUAGGGAAAUUGCUUUUGAAUAGAUGUGAGAACCUACUUGCUUCUUUUCAUGCCUUCAUUUACACUUCAAUAAAUAUUUGGUGAGUACAACUACACCAAACCUCAAGAUGUAGGCUCAAAUCAUAGGAGUAACCUCGUUUAUGUAUCCUAGUGUAUAAGUCAAUUGUAAACUUCAUCAUGAAUAAAUUGUGCAUAUAAUUUAGGGAGGGUAAUGGAGCGGAGCAAGGUCGGGGUGGAUAUCGUUAAAUCCACCCAUAGUUGGCACACUCUGCUCCACCACCCGCAUCGCUCUAUUAUCAAUAUAUAAUCUUGAAAGUCA